rnacentral:rRNA from 1 species
AUUGAACGCUGGCGGAAUGCUUUACACAUGCAAGUCGAACGGCAGCACGGGGCAACCUGGUGGCGAGUGGCGAACGGGUGAGUAAUACAUCGGAACGUGCCCAAUCGUGGGGGAUAACGUAGCGAAAGUUACGCUAAUACCGCAUACGAUCUACGGAUGAAAGCAGGGGACCGCAAGGCCUUGCGCUCUUUGAGCGGCCGAUGUCAGAUUAGCUAGUUGGUGAGGUAAAGGCUUACCAAGGCGACGAUCUGUAGCGGGUCUGAGAGGAUGAUCCGCCACACUGGAACUGAGACACGGUCCAGACUCCUACGGGAGGCAGCAGUGGGGAAUUUUGGACAAUGGGGCAACCCUGAUCCAGCCAUGCCGCGUGAGUGAAGAAGGCCUCGGUGU